rnacentral:rRNA from 1 species
GAUGAACGCUGGCGGCGUGCUUAACACAUGCAAGUCGAACGAAGCAGCAUGGAACGAAUCUUCGGAGGAGGGAAAUGGUGACUGAGUGGCGGACGGGUGAGUAACGCGUGGGUAACCUGCCUCGUACAGGGGGACAACAGUUGGAAACGACUGCUAAUACCGCAUAAGCGCACGAUACUGCAUGGUAUUGUGUGAAAAACUGAGGUGGUACGAGAUGGACCCGCGUCUGAUUAGCUGGUUGGUGGGGUAACGGCCUACCAAGGCGACGAUCAGUAGCCGACCUGAGAGGGUGACCGGCCACAUUGGGACUGAGACACGGCCCAA